rnacentral:lncRNA from 1 species
GCGACGAGAUCAACCUGGCCGCCAUGGCCGUCGGCAGGAUCCAGCGGUCGGAGCUGGAGCAGCUGGUGGACGCCGAGCUCGGGUAUGGCUUCGACGAGGCCACGACGAAGGCGAUGACGAUGGUGGCGGAGCUGGCGUUCCGGUGCCUGCAGCAGAACAGUGAGAUGCGGCCGCCGAUCAGGGAGGUGCUCGACGGUCUCAGGGGAAUACAGGAGGGCGGUGCGAGGGAGAAGAAAUACGAUGUUGUGGUCGUGCCCCGCUCCCCGAACACCGUGCACGCUCCUUGGGACAGCAUGAGCACUACGCCCAGCAUUACCAGUAGCGCGUAGAAAUCGAUGGUCGGAGCUUCAAAAUGUCAACUCCCCUCCCGUUGUUGCGAAUCAGCAA